rnacentral:rRNA from 1 species
GUAACACGUGGGCACCUGCCUGUAAGACUGGGAUAACUCCGGGAAACCGGGGCUAAUACCGGAUAACUCUUUUCCUCACAUGAGGAAAAGCUGAAGAUGGUUUCGGCUAUCACUUACAGAUGGGCCCGCGGCGCAUUAGCUAGUUGGUGAGGUAACGGCUCACCAAGGCCACGAUGCGUAGCCGACCUGAGAGGGUGAUCGGCCACACUGGACUGAGACACGGCCCAGACUCCUACGGGAGGCAGCAGUAGGAAUCUUCCGCAAUGGACGAAAGUCUGACGGAGCAACGCCGCGUGAGUGAUGAAGGUUUUCGGAUCGUAAAACUCUGUUGUCAGGAAGAACAAGUACCGGAGUAACUGCCGGUACCUUGACGGUACCUGACCAGAAAGCCACGGCUAACUACGUGCCAGCAGCCGCGGUAAUACGUAGGUGGCAAGCGUUGUCCGGAAUUAUUGGGCGUAAAGCGCGCGCAGCGUUCCUUAAGUCUGAUGUGAAAGCCCCCGGCUCAACCGGGGAGGGUCAUUGGAAACUGGGGAACUUGAGUGCAGAAGAGAAGAGUGGAAUUCCACGUGUAGCGGUGAAAUGCGUAGAGAUGUGGAGACACAGUGGCGAAGGCGACUCUUUGGUCUGUAACUGACGCUGAGGCGCGAAAGCGUGGGGAGCAAACAGGAUUAGAUACCUGGUAGUCCACGCCGUAAACGAUGAGUGCUAAGUG